GUGAAUCAUCGAAUUUUUGAACGCAAAUUGCACUUUCUGGUAUUCCGGAAAGUAUGCCUGUUUGAGGGUCAGUUAAAUAAAUAUCGGUUUUGUUGCUGCCUUUCGUAGUGACACGUGGGAAGUGGUUCGGCUUACCUUCGGUUAAGUGACUUAAAAUUUUGCAUGAUUAUCUAACGUUUUUAAAUU
rnacentral:misc_RNA from 1 species